GAUGAAGAACGUAGCGAAAUGCGAUAAGUAGUGUGAAUUGCAGAAUUCAGUGAAUCAUCGAAUCUUUGAACGCACAUUGCGCCCUUCGGUAUUCCGUUGGGCAUGCCUGUUCGAGCGUCAUUUAAACCUUCAAGCUAUGCUUGGUGUUGGGUGUUUGUUCCGCCUCUGCGCGUGGACUCGCCUCAAAUUCAUUGGCAGCCGGUAUGUUGGCUUCGUGCGCAGCACAUUGCAAGCGAUUUCAACAGACCUCCUUACAUAAGCCCUUUUUUUACUUUGACCUCGGAUCAGGUAGGGAUACCCGCUGAACUUAAGCAUAUCAAUAAGCGGAGGA
rnacentral:misc_RNA from 1 species